CUUGAAAAAGGGAGUUCAAGAAGAGCUUCGAAGAAGCUUUCUUGAUGGAGGGGAGUGGCAGACGGGUGAGUAACGCGUGGGAACAUACCCUUAUCUUCGGAACAACUCCGGGAAACUGGAGCUAAUACCGAAUGUGCCCGUAGGGGGAAAGAUUUAUCGGAUAAGGAUUGGCCCGCGUUGGAUUAGCUAGUUGGUGGGGUAAAGGCCUACCAAGGCGACGAUCCAUAGCUGGUCUGAGAGGAUGAUCAGCCACAUUGGGACUGAGACACGGCCCAAACUCCUACGGGAGGCAGCAGUGGGGAAUAUUGGACAAUGGGCGCAAGCCUGAUCCAGCCAUGCCGCGUGAGUGAUGAAGGCCUUAGGGUUGUAAAGCUCUUUCACCGGAGAAGAUAAUGACGGUAUCCGGAGAAGAAGCCCCGGCUAACUUCGUGCCAGCCGCCGCGGUAAGAC
rnacentral:rRNA from 1 species